rnacentral:rRNA from 1 species
UACAGAGGUCCCAAGCGUUGUUCGGAUUCACUGGGCGUAAAGGGUGCGCAGGUGGUUUGGCAAGUUCGAUGUGAAAGCCCCGGGCUUAACCCGGGAAUGGCAUUGAAAACUGCUGGACUGGAGGAUCGGAGGGGGACUGGAAUUCUUGGUGUAGCAGUGAAAUGCGUAGAUAUCAAGAGGAACACCAGUGGCGAAGGCGAGUCCCUGGACGAUACCUGACACUGAGGCACGAAAAGCCAAGGGGAGCAAAACAGG